rnacentral:RNase_P_RNA from 1 species
CGGGGCUGUCGGAGAAGCGCGCCGUUUUUUACGGUGAGGAAAGUCCGAACUCCACAGAGCAGCGUGCUUUGUAACACAAAGGCGAUGACUCAUUUCGCAAGAAAUGCGAAGUCGACGGAAAGUGCAACAGAAAAUAUACCGCCGUUUAUACGGUAAGGUUGAAAUGGCGAGGUAAGAGCUCACCGCAUUCAUGGUGACAUGAAUGGCAUGGCAAACCCCACGCGGAGCAAGGCAAAUAAGAAAGAGGUGUCUUUGGACAAUCGGAUUGCUCGUUCGAUAUUAAACUUUUUCGGGUAUGCCGCAAAGAAAUCAAUGGCAACAUUGAUUCAAGAUAAAUGCUUCUCCUCCUUCAGGAGACAGAAUUCGGCUUAUAGACAGCUUCGUCUU